GCCUUCGUGGUGUAACGGUAGCACACUCGGCGCGUAUUCGAGAGGUUCAGGGUUCGAAUCCCGGAGAGGGUA
rnacentral:tRNA from 1 species